GACGAACGCUGGCGGCGUGCUUAACACAUGCAAGUCGAACGGAAAGGCCCUGCUUUUGUGGGGUGCUCGAGUGGCGAACGGGUGAGUAACACGUGAGUAACCUGCCCUUGACUUUGGGAUAACUUCAGGAAACUGGGGCUAAUACCGGAUAGGAGCUCCUGCUGCAUGGUGGGGGUUGGAAAGUUUCGGCGGUUGGGGAUGGACUCGCGGCUUACCAGCUUGUUGGUGGGGUAGUGGCUUACCAAGGCUUUGACGGGUAGCCGGCCUGAGAGGGUGACCGGCCACAUUGGGACUGAGAUACGGCCCAGACUCCCACGGGAGGCAGCAGUGGGGAAUAUUGCACAAUGGGCGGAAGCCUGAUGCAGCAACGCCGCGUGCGGGAUGACGGCCUUCGGGUUGUAAACCGCUUUCGCCUGUGACGAAGCGUGAGUGACGGUAAUGGGUAAAGAAGCACCGGCUAACUACGUGCCAGCAGCCGCGGUAAGAC
rnacentral:rRNA from 1 species